GGGCCUAUAGUAUAGCGGUUCAGUACACCGCAUUUGCAAUGCGGAGACGGCAGUUCGAUUCUGCCUAGGUCCA
rnacentral:tRNA from 1 species